UAUUUCCAAGAGCCUCACCAGGGGCAGAAGCGGAAAUGAUUUCCUGAUGGCGCACCACAGAUUUAAAAACAAAACAAGGAACAAACAAACAAACAAAUAAAUGAGGCGAUGGCCUCAUUCCUUAGAUUAGUAUAAUCUAAGAAGGGAGGGAGGGGAAAUAUCCUUAGGACCCCAUUCCUUGGGUCCCUCAGCUGGCCGCUCACUGUGGACCGAGUCGUGUGUGCCAAGGACCCGGCUGCGUGCUGGGGAGGCACAGUCUAACGAGACACACUUGCUCGGGGGGGGGGGGGCAACGGAGGGAAAGGCGCCCCCUGCAGUUGUGCGCCGCGGCGGCCCUGCCCUGGAGGACUUCAGGACCCCAUAAAGAGUGCAGCCUCUGGAAUCAGAUCAGAAGGAGGUUCGAACCCUGGCUGGGAGGCUAACUAGCUGGGACACACCACGGGGUGAGAUCCCCUGGAUUUACGGUGAAUCUCAAAUCCAACGACAAGUGUUUUUACAUCUGCAAAUCAAGGAAUGCCGAGGAUCACCAGCAACCACCAGAAGCUGGACAGGCAUAGAAUGGAUUCUCCCUCACAGCCUCCAGAAGCAACCAACCCUGUCAGUACCUUGAGUUUUGACUUCUGGCUUCCAGAACUGGGAGAUAAUAGAUUUCUCUUGUUUUGA